GAGGGCAUAGCUCAGUGGUAGAGCACAUGCUUAACAUGCAUGAGGUCUUGAGUUCAAUCCCCAGUACCUCCA
rnacentral:tRNA from 1 species